AGAUAUUAAGAGUCCUUAGUAGGUUUAUAAUAGUUUAGGUUGGAAAAGACUUUCCUACGACAGCGAGAAACCCUAUAUGAUGGUUGUCAUACCCCAAAUUUUCCCCUCAUUAAAUAAAUUGAUACAUUCAUCAUGACAUUUGCAUCAUCUGCAUAUCAUAACAUGCAUUUCAUCUUACACAAUGCCUAAAAUGUCAAUCAGAAUAGAUUUUUGGAUAUAAAGACAGACCGG
rnacentral:lncRNA from 1 species